UCUAAAAAUGACCCUCUACACUUCAGUAAUGAACCUGGACCCUCAGAGUCAAAAGCUCAGUACAGACAGAGAGCAGAGUCUCCAGUACCCAGCUGUCUGUCUAUGAAAAGUGACUGGUCCAUGUGGACUCCUCUGAACUUCAGUAAUGAACCUGGACCCUCAGGCACAAAAGAGAAGAAGGAGGAGCUGA